UGAACGCUGGCGGCAGGCCUAACACAUGCAAGUCGAACGGUAACAGGAAGAAGCUUGCUUCUUUGCUGACGAGUGGCGGACAGGUGAGUAAUGUCUGGGAUACUGCCUGAUGGAGGGGGAUAACUACUGGAAACGGUAGCUAAUACCGCAUAACGUCGCAAGACCAAAGAGGGGGACCUUCGGGCCUCUUGCCAUCGGAUGUGCCCAGAUGGGAUUAGCUAGUAGGUGGGGUAACGGCUCACCUAGGCGACGAUCCCUAGCUGGUCUGAGAGGAUGACCAGCCACACUGGAACUGAGACACGGUCCAGACUCCUACGGGAGGCAGCAGUGGGGAAUAUUGCACAAUGGGCGCAAGCCUGAUGCAGCCAUGCCGCGUGUAUGAAGAAGGCCUUCGGGUUGUAAAGUACUUUCAGCGGGGAGGAAGGGAGUAAAGUUAAUACCUUUGCUCAUUGACGUUACCCGCAGAAGAAGCACCGGCUAACUCCGUGCCAGCAGCCGCGGUAAUACGGAGGGU
rnacentral:rRNA from 1 species